rnacentral:ncRNA from 1 species
CACUUGAAGCGGGGGUACCGCGGCGGGCCGGCACGGUCGCGCGGUUGAGACAGUCCCUUCGAACCUGAUGCGGUUGAGACCGCCGUAGGGAAGCUUCGCAGGACGCGAU